rnacentral:rRNA from 1 species
GACGAACGCUGGCGGCGUGCUUAACACAUGCAAGUCGAACGGAAAGGCCCUGCUUUUGUGGGGUGCUCGAGUGGCGAACGGGUGAGUAACACGUGAGUAACCUGCCCUUGACUUUGGGAUAACUUCAGGAAACUGGGGCUAAUACCGGAUAGGAGCUCCUGCUGCAUGGUGGGGGUUGGAAAGUUUCGGCGGUUGGGGAUGGACUCGCGGCUUAUCAGCUUGUUGGUGGGGUAGUGGCUUACCAAGGCUUUGACGGGUAGCCGGCCUGAGAGGGUGACCGGCCACAUUGGGCCUGAGAUACGGCCCAGACUCCUACGGGGGGCAGCAGUGGGGAAUAUUGCACAAUGGGCGGAAGCCUGAUGCAGCAACGCCGCGUGCGGGAUGACGGCCUUCGGGUUGUAAACCGCUUUCGCCUGUGACGAAGCGUGAGUGACGGUAAUGGGUAAAGAAGCACCGGCUAACUACGUG